AUGUUCCGCCAUCAGCAUAUUAUCAUUCUGGUGGUUGGCGGAUAAAUCCAAACUUGUAUGAGGAAGGGAAGGUUUGUCUCAGCCUUUUAAAUACUUGGACGGGCAGAGGGAAUGAGGUCUGGGAUUCUUCAUCUUCAAGUAUACUUCAAGUCCUAGUUUCACUUCAAGGGCUAGUCUUGAAUUCCAGGCCAUAUUUCAAUGAAGCUGGCUAUGACAAGCAAGUUGGGACAGCUGAAGGAGAAAA
rnacentral:misc_RNA from 1 species